AGCUUUUCGAAUCCGUGCAGAGAUUUCGUCAGACACCAAACCACUAUGGCUGAUCAGACCUCCAAGAUAGGUGUUGUC
rnacentral:pre_miRNA from 1 species